rnacentral:rRNA from 1 species
UACGGGGGGGGCAAGCGUUGUUCGGAAUUACUGGGCGUAAAGGGCUCGUAGGUGGCCAACUAAGUCAGACGUGAAAUCCCUCGGCUUAACCGGGGAACUGCGUCUGAUACUGGAUGGCUUGAGUUUGGGAGAGGGAUGCGGAAUUCCAGGUGUAGCGGUGAAAUGCGUAGAUAUCUGGAGGAACACCGGUGGCGAAGGCGGUUCUCUGGGACGGUACUGACGCUGAGACGCGAAAGCGUGGGGAGCGAACAGG